rnacentral:rRNA from 1 species
AUGGCUUCAUCCGGUUCCAGGACGAGGCCGGCGUGUGCGGACCAAGAGGACAUGCCGAAGACGUGGAUGGAGGCCAGGUUGGACAAGGAGAACCAGAAGGAUAAGGAUGUGCCCACACCACCAUGUUGGUGUGGUGAUGUUUGCAAGCUGAAGGUGUCCACUGACCGCAAGAAGUUAUGGACAGAAGGUAGAACGUUUUUCAUGUGUCCCAAUUAUGCACAUGAUCGUCGAAGGCCAACUAACGCAUAUGACAUACCAUUGGUAUGUUAG